UACGGAGGGAGCUAGCGUUAUUCGGAAUUACUGGGCGUAAAGCGCACGUAGGCGGCUUUGUAAGUUAGAGGUGAAAGCCUGGAGCUCAGCUCCAGAAUUGCCUUUAAGACUGCAUCGCUUGAAUCCAGGAGAGGUGAGUGGAAUUCCGAGUGUAGAGGUGAAAUUCGUAGAUAUUCGGAAGAACACCAGUGGCGAAGGCGACUCACUGGACACGUAUUGACGCUGAGGUGCGAAAGCGUGGGGAGCAAACAGG
rnacentral:rRNA from 1 species